rnacentral:rRNA from 1 species
UACGGAGGAUCCGAGCGUUGUCCGGAUUUAUUGGGUUUAAAGGGUGCGUAGGCGGUUUUAUAAGUCAGUGGUUAAAGACUCUCGCUCAACGAGAGGGAUGCCAUUGAUACUGUAGAACUUGAGUACUGUAGAGGUAGGCGGAAUUGGUAGUGUAGCGGUGAAAUGCAUAGAUACUACCAGGAACACCGAUUGCGAAGGCAGCUUACUGGAGAGUAACUGACGCUGAGGCACGGAAAGCGUGGGGAGCAAACAGG